AUCUGGGUCAUGAAAUGGGGUAUUUGACCUCGAAGCUCUUGACCCGGUCCACUAUAACAACGACCCUUUUCCUCUCCUCCCGCUCCGACUCUCCGUUGAGAUUUUGGUAGACCGUAACAUUCAGUAAAACUAUUUUCAUUUCGAUUUUCGAGCAUUCCUCUGCGACAAAACUCAGGUUCUCUAUAUCUCUCUUCUCUACACGUAUACAUACAUUUUUCUAUUUGUAUGUUGUGUAUAUAUGAUGUUCCUGCUGUAGCGUCUGACAACUGUUUGAGGAAAUGCCUCUACAUGGUAUUUUGUAAUUGUUUGGAUUUUUUUUUUUUUAAUAUAUAUGUUUAAGCCUGUGUGGAGCGUAAUUUGGUUGGUUGGCAAGAUCUUUGGCGAAUGGCAAAGAUGAUUGUUGGGUCAGUGGCUUUGAAGCGAUCGAUAUCAACUUUGUCAUAUCUCCGCGAAAGAAUUAAGCAAACAGAGAAUGAGAUUGUCGACAUGUUUCGUUUACCUAGUACGAAAGAUGAAGUGCAAAACUUUCCUACCAAGGGAAAGCUAUCGAGGAAGGAUCCCUCAGUUCGAAAAUUGGAUGAGAGAUUUAUUAGGAUUUUGAAGAUAUUCAAGUGGGGGCCUGAUGCGGAAAAGGCCUUGGAAGUGCUAAAGUUGAAAGUGGAUCAUCGAUUGGUACGUGAGGUUCUGAAGAUAGACGUUGAGGUCAAUGUUAAGAUUCAGUUUUUCAAGUGGGCUGGGAAGAGGAGGAAUUUUGAACAUGACUCAACCACGUACAUGGCUUUGAUCCAUUGCUUGGACGAAGCUGGGGUAGUUGGUGAAAUGUGGAAGACAGUUCAUGAGAUGGUUAGGAGUACGUGUAUUAUUGCUCCAGCUGAAUUAUCGGAAAUUGUCAGAGUCUUGGGUAAGGCUAAAAUGGUCAACAAGGCACUAUCUGUCUUUUACCAGAUAAAGAGUCGCAAGUGCAAACCCACGGCAAGGACUUACAAUUCCAUGAUCUUGAUGCUGAUGCAAGAAGGUCAUCAUGAAAAAAUCCAUGAGCUUUAUAAUGAGAUGUGUAAUGAGGAUAACUGUUUCCCAGAUACAGUGACAUAUAGUGCACUCAUAUCGGCAUUUGGGAAAUUGGGUCGUGAGGAUUCCGCCAUCAGGUUAUUUGAUGAGAUGAAGGAGAAUGGCUUGCAGCCCACUGCAAAGAUUUAUACGACAUUGUUGGGAAUUUAUUUCAAGUUGAGUUGGGUAGAGAAAGCUUUGGGUCUAGUCCAGGAUAUGAAAGAGAAGGGGUGUCCCCUAACUGUCUUUACUUACACAGAAUUGAUAAAGGGGCUUGGGAAAGCUGGGAGGAUUGAAGAGGCAUACAGUAUAUAUAUUGAUAUGCUCAAAGGGGGUGGUAAGCCUGAUGUUGUGCUCAUAAACAAUAUGAUAAACAUUUUUGGAAGAGCAGAUCGUUUGCAAGAUGCUCUUAAAAUUUUUAAUGAAAUGGAAUCUUUGCAGUGCAAACCGACUGUUGUGACAUAUAACACUAUAAUAAAAGCUUUAUUUGAAUCCAAAGCUCCAGCUUCUGAGGCUUCUUCGUGGUUUGAGAAGAUGAAGGCAACUGGUGUUGCUCCCAGCUCAUUUACUUAUUCAAUUCUUAUUGAUGGUUUUUGCAAAACAAAUAGAGUUGAGAAAGCUUUAUUGCUUCUUGAAGAGAUGGAUGAAAAGGGUUUUCCUCCUUGCCCAGCUGCCUAUUGCAGCCUGAUAAAUAGUCUUGGAAAAGCAAAACGGUAUGAAGCUGCAAAUGAGUUAUUUCAAGAAUUGAAAGAGAACUGUGGACGCUCGAGUGCUCGUGUGUAUGCUGUAAUGAUCAAACACUUUGGGAAAUGUGGGCGUAUCAGUGAAGCUUUAGAUCUUUUUAAUGAGAUGAAGAAACUUGGAUGCAAUCCUGAUGUUUAUGCUUAUAAUGCACUCAUGUCAGGGAUGGUAAGGUCUGGCAUGAUAGACGAAGCUCAUUCCUUGCUUAGAACAAUGGAAGAAAAUGGUUGCUAUCCAGACAUAAACUCGCAUAAUAUCAUUCUAAAUGGCUUGGCUAGAACUGGUGGCCCAAAGCGAGCUGGCGAGAUAUUUACAAAGAUGAAACAAUCGAAGAUUAAGCCAGAUGCAGUUUCUUACAACACUCUUCUUGGCUGUCUAAGCCGAUCUGGUAUGUUUGAGGAAGCUGCUAAGCUGAUGAAAGAAAUGAAUUCUAGAGGUUUUGAAUAUGAUCUUAUCACUUACUCAUCAAUACUUGAAGCGGUUGGUAAGGUCGAUGAAGAUCGUAAUCCUGUCACUUUUUGAAAGAACUAGGCAUAGGACACGUGUUAGCUUCUUAAAAAUGUUGACGUGGACUUCUAUCAAUUUUUGGACGGAAGUUGGACAGAGGUCAGACUACCACUCUUGCGUACUGGAAGCUGGGUCAUCUUUCCUUGAUAAUUUUGACUCAGAAUGUGUGCAAGAGAGCCAUAGAUAGAUGGCAAGCUAUGUAUAGUGGUUGCUAUUGAUUGAAACCCACAGCUUUGCUGCCAUAGUUAACGUGAUAAUGAAACUGAGAAACAUCAGUUGAAUUGGAGAAGAUCGAUUCUACACAGACAAAUGGGAUAAGUUGUCCCUGUCUGUCCUCAUUGCAAAUGAGGAUUGCUCUCUGCCUCCAACACUAUGCAUUGCCUUGUUGGAUAAUCCAACCGACAAAUUGGGUAAUUGAAUGGUCUUACAAAUUAGUUUCAAGAAAAAACUGAUGGGCAUCCUCUUUCAGAAACAGGGACAAUGUGAAAAGUCUGUGAAUAAGAAGUUUCAAGAUGUUUUUGAA